GGGUAGGAGCAGAAUCCAGAGCUCCAGUGGGUUUCCAUCCGCGACUUGGCUAGCCGGCUUGGUAGAUACGUCCGUGCAUCCUUUGGAUUCGAACCUCGCGCGCACUCGUGUGUCGUACGAUUUUACUGCCGCAUUUUUAUAGCCCGGUUUUACGAUUAUUUACAUCGUUAACUGUAAUCAUUUUACUGCCGUUUGAGCGGCGCCCAUAACCGUGUCGAGUGACACUACAAAUGACCUGUUAAAAUCCGGAACGAAUUAUAAUGUCGUAUUUUUUUAACUUGUUUAUAUUGUGCGACUUUGACUGAGUCUGAUCCGGCCGGACGUUGCAACGAACAGCAGUGCUUUCUGAAAAUUGACUAGUGUAAGUGUGCCCGUAUUGAGUUUGUUCGUUUUUUGUUUUUUGAGCGGACUAUCCCUCCAGUCGGGGGAUAAUAGUAAAUAGCUCCAAGAUUAAUUCGGCAAUCAUGAACUCCUACUUCGAACAGGGUGGCUUCUACGGGGGCCACCACCACCAGGGUGCCGGGUCUGUAACAGGGGCCCAUCACCACGAUCAGAGUGCAGCGGCUGCGGCCGCUUACAGAUCUUUCCCGCUAAGUCUGGGGAUGUCACCGUACGCCUCCACGCAGCACCAUCAUCAUCAUUCCCUGCACCAAGCCAGACCUCCGCAAGAUUCUCCUUACGACGCUUCUGUAGCAGCAGCCUGUAAACUAUACUCUUCGUCAGAAAGCCAACAAAAUUCCUACAGCAGUUCCGGAAACACGAAACCAGACUGCUCUAAGGGAAACGCAGACCAAAACGGAUACGCUUCUGUAGUUGCAGCACAAGCUGUAAAGGACGUUUGGCAAAGCGCUGCUACCGGUGGUGGUGCAAAUUUAGCCAACAGCUUGGCAGGUCCAGUGCGACCUUCAGCAUGUACCCCAGAUAGUAGGGUUGGCUAUGGAACUUCAGUAGGUUUGGUAGGAGGAGACCCGUCUUCAAGUCCAGGAUCGGCGACCGGAGGAAGGACGUCCAAUUCCUUAUCUUCAUGGAACAACCCUUGCUCGCUGAACACAUCGUCUUCGCAGCCUGUAGGAACGCAGAUCCAUCAGCAGCCCAACCACACAUUCUACCCUUGGAUGGCCAUUGCAGGUGCAAACGGCCUUAGACGGAGAGGACGCCAAACCUACACAAGGUACCAGACCCUCGAGUUAGAAAAAGAAUUCCACACAAACCACUAUCUGACACGACGAAGAAGGAUAGAGAUGGCGCACGCGCUCUGCCUAACGGAAAGACAGAUAAAAAUAUGGUUCCAGAACAGGAGGAUGAAACUGAAGAAGGAAAUACAGGCGAUCAAAGAAUUGAACGAACAGGAGAAACAAGCGCAGGCGCAAAAAGCCGCGGCUGCUGCUGCAGCAGCCCAGGUUGAUCAAAAUUAGUGGAUGACGUCGAUGUUGAUGGCCGAGCAGCUCAAUCUAAUCAACUGAGGUUGGACUUGAAGGCUUGCAGUUGUUUAAAAUGUACAUAUGUAGAGUGAGGUACAAAAGAGACAUAAAAUGAAGCAAUUUUGAAUAUAGUACAAAAAUAACCCCAAGGAGGCAGGCUUCUGGUAGACCUCAGACCUCUAGUGGAUUUUGGACGAGCUGCUCCCUCAUCAACAUACCAACACCCCUUCGGACAGUUAACACUACGCCAAAUGGGACAUUCUUGUAAAAUUUGUAAAAUUCGAUGUGAAUGUGAAAAACUAUAAUAUAAUUUUAAUUAUCGAAAACUUAUAUUUGAAAGAGUUCUUUUUGGAUUUGAACUAUCAGUUCUAGUCAACGAUAAGAGGUUAUAUCUCGCAACCCAAAAUUCAGUGUUUCGAAUGAAAUUUUUUUUUAUUUACAAUUUUUCAACGUGCCAUAAAUCACGAAACGAUAUACGUAAAUUUGUAAUCCUACUAGGUGUAAGAAGAAAAUACAAAGGGAAAUCUAUUAUAGCUAAUUGUGCACUGUGUAUAUACUCAUAAGAAUCUAUAUAUUAUAUAAAUAUGAAAUAUUCCUGGAAUCAUGGGAAUUAUAUAUGAUGUAAAUAUAGUUUUAAGAACACAAAUUUUCCAAAUUCAAGAUUAACUAUAUUAUGCAAAGAAUUUUGUGCAAUAACGAAGUGCAACUGUUUUGAUUUUUAAAGAAUUUUAUUUUAUUUUUUCAUUAGUGGUAGAAAAUUCACAGAUGGAUCUCUAAGAUAUAUACACAUCAACUAGAAUAUUUCGUAUUGAACAUUCUCAGUAUGGAAUAAUCCAGUGGAUUAAUAUAAUUAACACAUAAGCCCAAAAGUACUGCAUUAACUAUUUUGUAAAUUGAACGAAAUGAAUUAGAAUCAGCUUUUUGUAGAGCACCGCUUUGUACUAUAAAGUAUUAAUCACAUAAAAUGUAAAAUACAGUGUAUAUAUUAUCGAAUGAUGAACCUCUGAAAGAAUUUAAAACUAAAGACAUUAGAAAUUAGAUAUUUAGAAUAGAUGAUAUAUGUUUAUUUCUAUAUAGUGUUAACUUUCAAUUUUGUACCUAUAUUGAUCGCUUUAGUAUACAAAAUUGCUUAUAGUGUGCUAAACAAAAACUUAAUAAUCUGAUGUGAUUAUUCAAUUCCAAAACUUUAUUGAAAAUUAUUUAUACAUUUAUUUUGUUCAGAAAUUAAUGCUUAUUUAGCAGAAAAAAAAAUUGAACAAUGUGAUGAAAGAGAAAUAUAUGUCAAAGCAGUUACUAGCUAUUCAGAAUAUUCAAAUAUGAAUUCAAUAUAUCAGAUUUUAAGUUUUAACUAUUUUAAAACCCAAAAUUCUACUAUUUUGAUAUACCUCUUUUCAUGCAUUAUUUUCUCAUCUAUUGAUUGAGUUAUAUGAACUGACUCAACCUGAAAGUGUUGAUGCAUGAAUAUACUUCCAAAUUCUUGAAUAUCAACAUACAUUGUUAACACUAAAAGAGAUAAGAAGGAUAGACCAAUAAUAAUUCUCAUACAAUUGGCAUUUUUCAAAAUUGAUACAAUUUGGACGAAUAUUCUUUUGAAAAUGAUCGAAAUAAUCUAGACUCAAAUUAAUAUUCCAUAUCAAAUUCAAUUCUAUUAAAUAAAACUUUUUCAAUUAUCUGUAAAAUUUGAUGAAGCCACUUGGGCAGACUCAUGUUUCAGCCAAUAAAUCUGUAUGAAUCAAAUGAUCUAUCUGCAUUGCAAUAUUUGCUUGAGAUUUUGCAAUAGUUGGAAAAGGUCAAAUUGAACUCCGUCCAAAAUUGCAAAAAAAUAUGGCAUAGUCAAAUAAGCACUAAAAUCAAUAUGCACACUAUAUUCAAUGUUUGCUAAAAAGUUGAAUUAUUCUUGCCUCCAUAAUGGAUAUCGAUAUUUUGUUCCUUUGGUCAGAAAUCUGAUAUUAAUCUUAGAGGGAAUUAGUUCCAAUAGCUCCUUGCUAUCAGAAAACGAAAGUACAAGAAAAUGUAUACGUUAUUGUUAAGUUAUGUAAGGUAGUGGUGAAACAGCAGUAAGUUUGGGCUGAAAGAAGAACAGGAGACAUUUAUUAACCCAAACGUUGUACAUAAAGCUGUAAAAUUCGUAGGAUAAGGAUAAAAUGUAUACUGUUCAUCUAGAUUAUGAUUAUUGUUUGUUUUUCUUUCCGGUUUUAUAUAUGAACAAUUUGUUGCUUUUUGUUGCUCAAGAUAUUAUAUUUUAGUAUGUACCAUAAUAAGGCUCCAUCUUCUUGUCGUCUAUGUGUGACUGUAAUUUAUUUUAAUAAAAGUCAUGUUCUCCAGU